UACGUAGGGUGCGAGCGUUAAUCGGAAUUACUGGGCGUAAAGCGUGCGCAGGCGGUCUGUUAAGACCGAUGUGAAAUCCCCGGGCUUAACCUGGGGACUGCAUUGGUGACUGGCAGGCUUUGAGUGUGGCAGAGGGAGGUAGAAUUCCACGUGUAGCAGUGAAAUGCGUAGAGAUGUGGAGGAAUACCGAUGGCGAAGGCAGCCUCCUGGGCCAACACUGACGCUCAUGCACGAAAGCGUGGGGAGCAAACAGG
rnacentral:rRNA from 1 species